CAGGAUGAGCGCUAGCUACAGGCUUAACACAUGCAAGUCGAGGGGCAGCAUGAUCAAAGCUUGCUUGAUUGAUGGCGACCGGCGCACGGGUGAGUAACGCGUAUCCAACCUUCCCUAUAGUAGUGGAUAGCCCGGCGAAAGUCGGAUUAAUACACUAUGUUGUAUUUAGAGGACAUCUGAAGAAUACCAAAGGCUUGCCGCUAUAGGAUGGGGAUGCGUCUGAUUAGAUAGUAGGCGGGGUAACGGCCCACCUAGUCGACGAUCAGUAGGGGUUCUGAGAGGAAGGUCCCCCACAUUGGAACUGAGACACGGUCCAAACUCCUACGGGAGGCAGCAGUGAGGAAUAUUGGUCAAUGGGCGCGAGCCUGAACCAGCCAAGUAAGCGUGCAGGAUGACGGCCCUAUGGGUUGUAAACUGCUUUUAUCGGGGGAUAAAGUCACCCACGUGUGGGUGUUUGUAGGUACCCGAUGAAUAAGGACCGGCUAAUUCCGUGCCAGCCGCUGC
rnacentral:rRNA from 1 species